ACCGGUAAUAAAAUCAAAUGGAUUCAGUGCUCACAACUCUUCAGUCUCUGGGCUACUUUCCAUUCUUGAGUUUUUAGCUGAAUUCAUCUCUUUGGCUGGAUUUUGUGAAAAACAAAGGACAUUUUUCUUGCUUGGAUCGGGCAGCCGUUAGAACCAAAACAGUUCUGAGGAACUCCCAGGCUGCCGUGUGGUGUGAAAUGUUUUAUGGACAGAAAAUGGAAAUGAGGUGCAGAAACUGGAGCUAAGGAUAAACUUGAAGGCAAAGAGUAGAUUUUGGCCAGACACUGAUGCUAAAGUCACCCCGAUGCUGUCUUUGCUUCUAAGGUAUAAAUUACCUUAUUUUUAGCAACUUUUUCAACCUUCCAUAAUAAAAACUUGGAUAUAAUGAAAUUUUGCAUAAAUGACAUGUGGCAACCUAAUUUGGUGGAAGCCAGGGAACCUGGCAGAGAGUUAUAUUUUUCAUCUUCACGUUGAGUAGAGAAUCCAUGAAAAUCUAAUACCCAGUUAUCACUCAAGUGUGACAAAUAGAAAGGAGCUUCAGAAUAGGAUCUUCAGUUCUACCAAAUGUCUCUGCCUAAUUACAUCAAUAUCCAUGUUGUCGAGGAUUGCUUACUAAUGUUUGAGAAGCAAUAAUGAUAUGGCAAGAGAGAGUGAAAUUUCAGUCUUUAUUCAAGAUCAAGUGCAACUGUCUCUUUGAGGAAAGUCCUUUGACCCCCAUUUCUCCCCUUCAGAAGGCAAGCACCUGGGGGAGAAGAUCUGUUUAAGGACCUGGUAACUGACAAAGAAUGGAAUGGGAGCGAGAACCGCCUAGCCAUCCCUUCUCCUUGCACAGUCAUGAAACAAAGUUGAAAAGGAGCCCGGUUUUACUUGACCAGUCAUAAAUUACCAUAAAAUAAAAUGAGAUAUUAGGAA
rnacentral:lncRNA from 1 species